rnacentral:rRNA from 1 species
AGUGAACGCUGGCGGCGUGCCUAAUACAUGCAAGUCGAACGGAGUGGCGCACGGGUGAGUAAUAUAUAGCUAAUCUGCCCCUUGCUGGAGGCCAACAGUUAGAAAUGACUGCUAAUACUCCAUAGCAAGGGAUGAGACUAUAUCGUAUCAGCUAGUCGGGGGGGUAACGGCCUACCGAGGCUAUUACGCGUAACUGGUCUGAGAGGAUGAUCAGUCACAUUGGAACUGAGGCACGGUCCAAACUCCUCCGGGAGGCAGCAGGAGGGAAUAUUGCGCGAUGGGGGAAACCCUGACGCAGCAUCGUCGCGGGGAGGAGGACAAUUUUCGGAGCGUAAACGCCUUUGUUUAGGGAAGCGGUACCUAACGAAUAAGCACCGGCUAACUCCGUGCCAGCAGCCGCGGUAAUAC